AUAUAUACAUUUAUAUGGAACAAAAUGUUAAAAUCUUCACACAUUAUUAUAUAUACCAGAUCUAAUUCGUUUGAAGUUUUAACGUAACAGCACGUAAUAUGUAUUCUAUAACUAAUUUUCUUUCAUAAUUUUUUUGCCCUUGGAAAAUUUAGGAUUUUGGUGUUCUAGAUCCUUUAGUGAUAUAUCACUGAAACAAUCAAAAACCGGAAAAAUGAUCAAGAACACACCAGAGUGGGAAGUGAUAUUGACGAACCCUUAUUCCUGCACAGGAACUGACAUAGUGUUGUCAUGUGUCGGUUUCAAAUCGCUCACACCCAUCGACCGUUCGCAAAUAUCGGUAUCCGGUAACGAGUGUUCGCUCAUCAACAAUCUAUAUGGCGAAACUGACUUUGUUUUCAAAUACGUAUAGACCGAGAAGUUCGAUAUCAAGAUCAAGUCGGGCGAAGUAGCUUGCUCUUAAAUUUUCUGCCCUUGGUUUAAUUUGGUCUUUGUUCAUGUUUGUUUAGUUACUUGAGCUGAUGAGCAAGUGAAGCUGAUGAUCAUUAUUACAUAUAUAUAUAUAUAUGUAUAUAUAUUUUUUUUGUUAACCGAGGGUCCCAGGUCGGGGCCCAGACAUCCCUCGAGGCCCGCAGCAGCCACGUCAUUUCCACCCUAGGAGUAGCAGGGUGGGCCCGGGUGGCCCGGCGUAGAGGUAUAUCUGAGAGGGGAGGUUCGAACUCGCGGCCCUUAGGACCAUUGCGAGCCGCCUCACACCACUUGACCACCAACGUCUAGAUAUUAUUUAGCAAGUAUUUUUUUAAAAAAGAAUUGAUUGAAUCUCCAUUGUAUUCAUUCUCAAUAAAAACAUGACUUACUAUUAAACAUGAUAUUGUUUAAAACUAAUUAUGACAUAGAUAUAUAUUUAUGUAAUUUUGUAUUUUAUGAUAAGAUUUUUGAAAUAUGCUAAUAACUAAUAGAUUGUAAUUAAAUCAAUAUCAUCAAAUAUAACACUAAAAAUGUAAUAAUGGAAAUAUAAAAAUAUUUAAUUACACUAGAUAAUUUGUUGCCAAAUUAUAGUUUUAAAUAUAUACAUAUCUUUCAUUAAAUGUAAAUAUAGCAUAAUCAAAAUUAAUUAUUGUAAAUUAAUUUUACUAAAUUAGUCAAAUCAAAGUCAAAACAAAAAAUAUUGUUACAUAAAUGGCAAAUUAUAAUUUUUAAUCAUAAAAGAUAUUUUAUUCUAUAAAAUAAACCCAAUACCUCCCUAUAAAUAACACUAACAUCACAAUUUAUCAGCCACAUUCUCAUAUUUACUAAGUUUUACAUAUUCUCUGAUAAAUAUCCAAACAUCAAACCAUGAAAACAAAUGCAUGCAAAUUCCUUUGCCUCAUUCUCCUCUUUGCUUUCGUCUCCCAAGGAUUUGGGUGUUAUGGACCCGGAACCUUUGAGAAUAUAUAUCUGAAGCAAUCCAAAACCGGAAAAAUGAUCAAGAAUACACCAGAAUGGGAAGUGAGAGUGACGAACCCUUGCACCUGCACAGGCACUGACAUAGUAUUGACAUGUGUCGGUUUAAAAUCGCUCACGCCCAUCGACCAUUCGCAGAUAUCGAUAUCCGGUAACGAGUGUAAGAUAACCAACAAUCUAUAUGGCCAUACUGACUUCGUUUUCAAAUACGUAUGGGCCAAGAAGUUCGAUAUCCAAAUGGAGUCGGGUGGAAUCGCUUGCUCUUAAAUUUUCUGCCCUUAGUUUAAUUUGGUAUUUGUUCAUGUUUGUUAGUUGAUGAGCAUGUAAAACUGAUGAUCAUUAUUACACACACACAUAUAUAUAUAUAUAGACUAAUAAAUAUGUACGCGUUUUAUUAUUGAGUUUUAUGUCAUUUUAUUAGUAGUA